ACUCAAAGGAAUAGACGGGGGCCCGCACAAGCGGUGGAGCAUGUGGUUUAAUUCGAUGCAACGCGAAGAACCUUACCUGGGUUUGACAUCCUCAGACCGCACUAGAGAUAGUGCUUUCCCUUCGGGGACUGAGAGACAGGUGCUGCAUGGCUGUCGUCAGCUCGUAUCGUGAGAUGUCGGGUUAAGUCCCUUAACGAGCGCAACCCUUGUUCCUAGUUGCCACCAUUAAGUUGGGCACUCUAGGGAGACUGCCGGUGUUAAACCGGAGGAAGGUGGGGAUGACGUCAAGUCCUCAUGGCCUUUAUAUCCAGGGCUACACACGUGCUACAAUGGCCGGUACAAAGGGUAGCCAACCAGCAAUGGGGAGCUAAUCUCAGAAAACCGGUCUCAGUUCGGAUUGAAGUCUGCAACUCGACUUCAUGAAGCUGGAAUCGCUAGUAAUCGCGGAUCAGAACGCCGCGGUGAAUACGUUCCCGGGCCUUGCACACACCGCCCGU
rnacentral:rRNA from 1 species